UUGUGCGAGAAUUUUCUCUCGUAGUGAUUUCCACAGUAGAGAAAAAAUUCGCCAAAACACAAGCAUUUGAUUGGUUUCGCUAUUUUGUCAUCCAAAACACAAGCAUUUGAUUGGCUUCGCUAUUUCCAUUUCCCAACGGAGUGGAAACGAAUUCAAUUACCGGGCGAAGAGAAAUAUUUCACAGAGAAACAUUCCAAAAUCAUGUUGCGCAUGCGUUCAACCUUUUCGCGCGAAAUAUUUCGUAUUUUGCUCGUCGUGGAAUUAGGC
rnacentral:lncRNA from 1 species